GACGAACGCUGGCGGCGUGCCUAAUACAUGCAAGUCGAGCGGACUGAUUAAGAGCUUGCUCUUAUGACGUUAGCGGCGGACGGGUGAGUAACACGUGGGCAACCUGCCCUGUAGAUCGGGAUAACACCGAGAAAUCGGUGCUAAUACCGGGUAAUAUCUGAGAUCACAUGAUCUUAGGUUAAAAGAUGGCUCCGGCUAUCACUACAGGAUGGGCCCGCGGCGCAUUAGCUAGUUGGUAAGGUAAUGGCUUACCAAGGCGACGAUGCGUAGCCGACCUGAGAGGGUGAUCGGCCACACUGGGACUGAGACACGGCCCAGACUCCUACGGGAGGCAGCAGUUGGGAAUCUUCCGCAAUGGACGAAAGUCUGACGGAGCAACGCCGCGUGAGUGAUGAAGGGUUUCGGCUCGUAAAGCUCUGUUGUUAGGGAAGAAACAGUACCGAACGAACUAGGUCGGUACCUUGACGGUACCUAACCAGAAAGCCACGGCUAACUACGUG
rnacentral:rRNA from 1 species